AGAGUUUGAUCCUGGCUCAGAUUGAACGCUGGCGGAAUGCUUUACACAUGCAAGUCGAGCGGCAGCGCGGGGCAACCUGGCGGCGAGCGGCGAACGGGUGAGUAAUGCAUCGGAACAUGUCCAUGGAUGGGGGAUAGCCCGGCGAAAGCCGGAUUAAUACCGCAUGAGCCCGAGAGGGGAAAGUGGGGGACCGCAAGGCCUCACGUCGAUGGGUUGGCCGAUGCCCGAUUAGCUAGUUGGUGAGGUAAUGGCUCACCAAGGCGAUGAUCGGUAGCUGGUCUGAGAGGAUGAUCAGCCACACUGGGACUGAGACACGGCCCAGACUCCUACGGGAGGCAGCAGUGGGGAAUUUUGGACAAUGGGGGCAACCCUGAUCCAGCCAUUCCGCGUGAGUGAAGAAGGCCUUCGGGUUGUAAAGCUCUUUUGUCCGGAGCGAAAAGGUUACGGUGAAUAUCCGUGACUACUGACGGUACCGGAAGAAUAAGCACCGGCUAACUACGUGCCAGCAGCCGCGGUAAUAC
rnacentral:rRNA from 1 species